GCCUCAUUAGCUCAGUGGUAGAGCUGCGGCUUGCCAAGUCGUGGAAUGCCAGCAACACCGGCACACGCACAGGUUCGAUUCCUGUAUGGGGCU
rnacentral:tRNA from 1 species